CUUUAAAUAAUGUGUUUAUAAAAAUAAAAUAUUUUUUGGCGUCACACCCGCUUUAUUAAAAUAUAUUUUCAAACUCGCGCUCCCUGUUAAUAACAUUUCGGCAUAUGUUAACGGCCUUCUCUCCGUUGUGUGCUCUCCAAUUAGAAAAACUGGUUGCUUUGUAAAAAAACUGUGGAGCGUGAGUAUGUUGCCAACGCUCCGCAAGUGUGCACGCACUGGUCUCGUAUUUUGUGUAAGCAGAAACGGUGUUGAAUUAAUGUACAAUAAUGAAAAUACACUUUCGCGAACAAUAUGGCACCAAAGGCGAGGAAAUACUGUAUGUGACGCCAGCAGAUCAAAGAAAUAUUGUGCGAGUGCCUCUACGCGGCGAUAAGCUGGUCAUUCAAGAGAAGUUCUUGUUAUUUCGUGUGCUUCAAAAUAUCUUUCUGCCCAAGGGCUAUCCGGACUCUGUGUCCGAUGAUUAUGCGGCGUAUCAAAUCUGGGAUACAGUGCAAGCAUUUUGCAGCACCAUUUGCGGCACACUCUGCACACACGCCAUUCUCAAAGGAAUCGGAGUGGGCAGCGAGAAUGUGAAUGCGUAUUCGGCGACGGUCACCUGGAUACUAAAGGAGGGCAGCGGGCAUAUGGGACGCAUUAUAUUUGCCUGGUGGCAAGGUAGUCAACUGGAUGUGGACUCUAAGAAAUGGCGACUGCGAGCGGAUUUUCUCAACGAUCUGGCAAUGGGCAUUGAGAUCUAUGUGCUUCCAAAAUAUCCGCAUUUCAGCACGCAAAUUCUUUGCGGCUCCACUCUGCUAAAGGCUAUAGUAGGCGUGGCGGGCGGUGCGACGCGUGCUGCAUUGACGCAGCAUCAUGCGGUGCGCGGCAAUUUGGCGGAUGUCGCCUCCAAGGAUAGCUCCCAAGAGACAUGCGUCAAUCUGAUUGCCUCCUUUAUGGGCCUCUAUCUGCUGACUAUGAUCAAGAGCCAAGCGAUGCUUUAUACAGUUUUCUAUAUUGUGGUCACGCUGCAUCUGUAUGCGAAUCUAAAGGCUGUGCGCGCGGUUUGCUUGCGCACCUUUAACGAAUCGCGUUAUCUAAUUACAUUAGAGGAGUUCUUUAGGUCGUCACAGAUGCUGACACCACAGCAGGUCAACAAAUUGGAACGCGUUACUCUCGGCCAAAUGGUCUCCGUAUCACUGAAAAUUCGACUCGGCUUGAGCGUAAAACAUCUCAUAGAUGAGUACAAGAGCAGCGAUGUCAUCGAGGAUAUUGUGUCUUCGUUCGAUCCCCAUGAACAUUUCAUUAUAGCGGAGAGCAAGAAGUUUUUGGGCGUCUAUUUGCACUUCGAUACACGACCACAGGAUGUCCUGAAGGCAUAUUUCUUUGGUGUCUCCUAUCUGCAGGAUCGGAAACAUAUUAAGGAAAAAUAUUGGGAUAUCCAAGGCAAAUGGCAAGAGUUCUUGAGUCUAGCGCAAAAAGAGGGUUGGAUAAUUAAUCAGCAUUUAUUGUUGGUUGAUGAAUAUCGUUUGGACUGGAAGGCUUAAAGGAUGAGCUAAGCUUACUAACUGGACCAGAGAAGAUAAAAUGCUAAGAUCGCCGCUUGCUAUAAAUGACAUUACUUAGUUAUUAUUUUGUAGGCUUGGAGCAUUCAAACAACACAGACACUCACUCACACUCAUUCUCACAUAUCUCACAUGGUUAAUAACCAUAAGGCAAACGUUGAUAUUAACAAAAAUUAUUGCAAUUAUACAUAUUUACACAUUCUAGAUUCUAGACACAAGAGAACACUCAUGCGCAUCUAUCUCAACUAUACUUAAUAACUGAAAGCACAAAGUAACGUUUGUAAACGAUAUUCAAUAUUAUACUCAAAGAGUCCUUAUCUGGACCUUCUCUAUUUGUAUCUAGGCCAUCUAAAGAAAAGACACUCUCAAGAAUUUUAGAAUCAAAUGAUGGGCUGGAAUAUUUAAUGAAUAUGUCUAUUUUUUAAUAACUUACCACUUGUAUAUUUCGAGGAGGUACUUUUUACCACAAAUUGAAAGCAAAACUAAGAAAUGAUGAAAAAAAGAAAACUGCGCAACUAUCGAUCCACUUAAAUUGCAAGUCAUAAAAUGUGUACAAAGUUCAUUAACUGAAAUUAAUUGAUUAAGCACUCUCAAUUAGUACAUUUGAUACAAGAAACGUGUAAU
rnacentral:misc_RNA from 1 species